GGUGAAGCCUUUGUACACCUACAUGGAGAAGCUCGUCGAGACAUCCGAGAUCGCGUCAAUUGGAGUUUCCGAUUUCUCUGCUCGUCAACUUAAAACAAUUAUCGACCAUUUCGAC
rnacentral:sRNA from 1 species